CGUAAGGCGCCGAAUGAGUCAUUAAAAAAUUAACAUCAUCCGAUCCCUAGUCGGCAUAGUUUAUGGUUAAGACUACGACGGUAUCUGAUCGUCUUCGAUCCCCUAACUUUCGUUCUUGAUUAAUGAAAACAUCCUUGGCAAAAUGCUUUUCGCAGUAGUUAGUCUUCAAUAAAUCCAAGAAUUUCACCUCUGACAAUUGAAUACUAAUCGCCCCCAAUAUCCCUAUUAAUCAUUACGUCGAUCCUAAGAAACCAACAAAUAGAACCAAACGUCCUAUUCAUUAUCCAUGCUAAUGUAUUCAAGCGCGA
rnacentral:rRNA from 1 species